GUGCAAUUUCAAGAGAGCUUGUGUCGAUAACCUACUGCUACCCCAGGCAUGGACGUUUUAAGCAUGCUCUUUUUUUUCUGCUUGGGAAAAAGCUGGGGACAGGAGCAAAUUAAAAAUUAGAGUUUAUUCAUUGGAUGAAAACCUAAAGCCAUCUCGAAGAGACAUUAUCUUGACUUUUGUAGCUCCAGAAGGGUCAGAAGUUGCCAUGGUAGAAGAAAGAAAUGAUACUGGAAUUAUCACUUUUCCUGACUUCAAGAUCCCAUCUCAUCCUAAGUUCUUGGAGCUUUAGAUAAAAGUGGCCAGGGCUGUGGAGCAAGUGGUGGCAGAGGCAAUGCCGAGGUAUUCACUCAGCAGGACUCCUGCUCCUCACCAACGUGGACACACACCACUCCUACCAAGUGGUACUCAUCCCGUUCCCAGUCAAGCCACAUGAGUCAUGUGAGAAAAUUCUCAGAUCAAGAGAGUCCUUGAAAGAAGAAAUAGGAAAUCUAUUGCUCCAAAGUUUCAUUUCCCCCGCACCCAGAAGUUAUGAUGGAAUAACCCAGGAUCUGCAACAUUUUGUCAUGCUAGCCAGUUGGUGUAGAACAGACGAAAAGGUCUAUAGUCACUUCUGGUUUUUACUUUCAGAGAGGUGAAAUAACCUGGUAAAACUAACCCACAUUCAUUUAGCAUGGUCUUACCCUAAAGGAGAUAUAGAUAUUCUUCAUGUCCAUUAUCUAUAGGGACAGAGUCCUUAGCUAACUCACUGAAUCUCCCCCAAGCCUCAGUUUCUUUCUAAAGUGCUUUCUUGGUAAUGUCACACUCAAACUUAGACUAGACAGAAAUCUGAUCAGUAUUUCACCAUACCAAAGUGAGUUACUGAAAAUUCAAGUAUCUUGCUAAGUUAAAAUAACUGGGAGAAAAACAGACCUUCUUUACAGUGGUCCAAUGUUUUAUCUCAUGGUAUUGCCUCUUGGUCCCUGCCCCAGCACUGCCCCUUAGCAGGUGUAACCACUUCAUACCUUUGUCAUCUCUCAAUGACAGGAAAGGACAUUAUCACUCUAAACCACCAUCAGUGGUUUUGGAAAAAAGAGUAAAUUCUCUUAUUAGAGGCUUCCUACUGACUUGACUGUGGUUUUAGUCAGUUUUUGUUGCUAUGACCAAAGCACCUGAAGAGAACAGCAUAGAUAAGGAAAAUUUUAUUUUGGUUAUGGUUUUAGAAGUUUAGUCCACAGUUGGCCAAAUCCAUAGCUCUGGGCCUAGGUGAAACAGAACAUAUGACACAAGGGCUUGGCAGAGGAGAGCUACUCAGGACAUGGCAACCAGGAGACAGAGAGACUCCAGUCACCAAGGACAAACUAUAAACCCCAAAGGCACACCUCCAGUGACCUCUACCCACACCCUACCUGCCUACAGUUACCACCUAGUUAAUCCAUAUCAGUGGAUCAGUUCACUGGCCAGAAAACUAAUCUGAUUGUAAUCUAAUCAUUUUUAUCCCUGAAUAUUUUUGCAUUGUCUCACACAUGAGCUUUUGGGGGACACCUCACAUCUAAACCAUAACAACUGCCUUGGUCAGGGAAAUGUUCCAUAGAGUAUGACUAUAUGAAGAUUUUAAACCUGAUCUAAAUUUAAAAAAAGGUCCUAGGGGUGUUCAAUGGAGUAUCUCCAUCAGUCUCUGAUACUAUAACAAAGUACCAUAGGCUGGGUGGUUUAUAAACAACAAAAUUGUAUUUCUCACAGUCCUGGAGGCUGGAAAACUGAAAUCAGAGUGUAACCACUUCAUACCUUUGUCAUCUCUCAAUGACAGGAAAGGACAUUAUCACUCUAAACCACCGUCAGUGGUUUUGGAAAAAAUAGUAAAUUCUCUUCUUACAGCCUGGAAGAAGGCAUGGGCCUUCUUCCCGGCUGCAGACUGCCAACUUCUCACUAUAUCCUUACAUGGCAGAAAGAGGGAAGUAAGAGAACUCCCUGGCUCCCAUUCAUGACGGCCAAUCUUCCAAAGGCCCCACCUCCUAAUAUCAUCACAUCGGGGCUUAAGAUUUCAUCAUAUGAAUUCCUGGGAACACUAACUUUCCAUCCAUAACACAGAAAAGGGGUAAGGCUUAGGUAAUCAUGAUGCCUAUCUUUAAAUAUUUGAGGAACUCAUGGUCAGAUGACUUUUUCUGCACAAGAGAAUUCAUCCUAUGGCUCUCAAUAAGGGUACCAGUAACAGGAGUUAGAUUUUGGUUAAGAAGAUGUCAGGAAGAACUUUUCAGCAAUUUAGCUCUCUGAAAUAGAAUAGACUCACUGGGGAGGAGUCAAUUUCCUACUCUGGGAGGUGGUCAACCACUAGUACUAAGUUGGGGGAGGCAGCGUGCAACAGGAGGAAGUUUGAUCAGAGCCUCCAAGUUCAGCCCUGAGACUUCAAAUCUGGACUUGGCUGAGAAGUGCUGUGUUAUCAUAUCAGCAUCCCAAUUCAGACAUCCUCUGAUCCAGAAGUGAGGAGAGCUGAAGGGAGAGAGCUCUGAGGAUUACCAUUGGCCAGAGGGGUUCCAGCACUUUCUCGAUGUGCUGUGUCCUGGCAAAUGAGCAUCAGGCAAACAGUUCUCACACCAAUGUAUCAUGGGAAGGACAGGUAGGUGUAAAAGUUCCCAUUCCUUGUGCCAUGCAGUGGUAAGGUGCUGGGUGGAGUUUGUACUGCCAUGGGAAGAAGUUGUUCCAAACUGGGCUUUAAUGUACACAAGAUGAAGUCAACUCCUGCAGUUCACCUCCAAAAGCGGAGCUGGCAGCGACAGUCAUACCAGUUUGGGGAUCACUGAUCCCAUGUCACCACUAACUCACUGUGGAAGUCAGAGGUCUUUAUCCUCUCAAAGCCAGUUUGUAAAAUGAAAAUAUUUGCUUGAUUCUGUGGCAUUGAUUUUCUACAGACUUCACUGGCUACACAGAGCAUGAUUAUUUUUUAGAUCUUAUAUAAAAACAAUAGCAUACUUUAAAGAAUCAAAAUAUUAUUCUUGAUUUCACCACAAACCACAGCCAAUAAGAUUUAUCAGAAGUUGGUGCUUUUUCAAGCUAACACAUACUCUCUUUUUCUUCCUCCUCCCCCUCCUCCUCCCCCUCCUCCUUCUCCUCCUCUGUCCCUUCCUCUUCACUCCUUCUAAUGGCUAAAUGUUAGGACUUGGUCACAGCUGAAGGCCUUUGUUAUUAGUAAUGAUGCUGGUAUUGAUGAAGUGUUUGGAUGAUAUUAAGUUGAGAAAUCUUUCUUGACAUUAGACUGAGAAAUGCUUUUUUUCCAUAAUUAAUUAGUGAAAGAAAAAGAUGUAUCAGAAGUAAAAGAAAUCCCAAGAGGCAUACAUGGAAAAGAAUUUCCUUUAGCUCGUUUUCUCAGGGUUUAGGCACGUACACAUCAAAGAAUGAAGUGAAUAAUUUAUUAACAUUUUCUUCAGUUUUUCUGCCCUACUUUUAAGCCUAUUUUCUUUAGUUUCAUUUGCAUUCUAAUUAACUACACUACUGGAGAGAUCAUACAAAUUAAGGAAGAGGUAUCUAAGAAAUAUAUUGAAAUUUUUGUUUGAAAUUGUACUCAAACAAGUAGGUAGCUUAUUAAAAAUGAUCUAGUGACAUUCUUAUGUCUUUGCAUGAAACUGUAAAAGUAUAUGAAUAAAAUCCAUAUUUUAAAAUAUAAAAUAUAAAAUUUACCUUAAAUCCUCAAUAGUAGUGGUAGUAUAAGGGAAAACCUAUUAUAAUUUACGAAUGCAUAUAUUUUUAAAACUUAAAGAAAUGAAAGUAAUUUAGCAUACAAGUUUAAAAGGAAGUCCACAAAAAAUUUGGGAGAAAAUCAGUUAAAAAUUUAAGAGCCAGCAUUUCAAAAUGUCUAUCACCUUCCCCACAGUGUUAACUAUUGUUAAGAGAUUUCUACAGAAAAUGGGAUCACACUACAUAAAUGGGAUAACAUACCCUUCUGCAAUGUGCUUUUCUGAAGUAUUGGCAAAUAUCAUGAACUCAUUUUCACAUUAGUGCAGAGAAAUCUGCCUCAUUCUUUUUAAAUAAUUGCAUAGUACUUGAUAAAACCACUAUGUCUUCAUUUUCUUCACUGCUUAUACAUUAAUGGGCAUAUUUGCUUCUGGGGCUGCCAUAACAAAUUACUCCCAACUUGGUGACUUAAAACAAUGGAAAUUCAUUCUCUCACAGUUCUGGAGGCCAGAAAUCCAAAAGUUGUCAGCAGAGUCGGCUCCCUCCAAAGUCUCUAGUACAGAAUCCUCCCUUGUCUCUUCACGUAUCUGGUGGCUGUUGGUGGUCCUUGAUGUUCUUUGGGUUACAGACACAUCAGUUCAAUCUCUGCCUCAGGCUUCACAUGGCUGUCUCCCCUGCGUUUCUGUGUCUUCUCUUUUUCUGUCUCGUAUAAGGAUACUUCUAAUGUUAUACCUAAUUAAGACUUCUUAUAAGGAGUUAGAGUCCACUCUAAUCCAGUAUGAUCUCGUUUCAAGACCAUUAACUUAAUUCUCAAAUAAGUUCAUAUUCCCAAGUACCAAGGGAUUUGGACAUAGCUUUCUGGGAUCACAGUAAAAAUUAGGACAUACCUUAUUAGGGCCAUUGACUAAAUGUUUAAAUAGUUUUCCCCACAUUUUCAUUAUUAGAAACUCCUGGGAGGAAAAAAAAAACUAUCAUUUUGAUCUUUUUUAUGUGUCUGUGUAUUUCUGUAAGAACUAUGUCAUUGUGUCUUAGUUCGGGUUACUGAAACAAAGAUACCCUGGAAGGGGAACUCAAACUACAAACACUGAUUUCUCACGUUCCACAGAUGAAGAAGGCCAAGGCCAGAGGGCCUACUGAUCUGGUGUCUGCUGAGGGCCCUCUUCCUUAUCUACAGACUGCCAUCUUUCUCCAGGUAUACUUACAAGGUGGAGAGAGAGUAAGGGCUAGCUCUCUUCUCUUCUAAUAGAACCACUAAUUCCAACAAGGAGACUCCACUCUCAUGACCUGACCACCUCCCAAAGGCCUCCUUCCAAAACCCAAAACCCAAAACCCAUCACAUCAGGGCGUCAAUGUACCGGAGCACCGAACACUGUAGCACAUUGUCUGAAGGUGAAAUUGCUGAAUCAGGUGGGCACAUAGAUGGACUGGAUGUAUAUUUAAAAACGAAUGGUACCAAUGUCUACUCCCCCCAACUGCAUUUAAAGCCUGCCUUUCAACCUUCUUCCCCCUUGUAAAAAUCUAUUAACUUUUGUCAAUCCGUUGAGUCAGAAGUGUCUCACUUUAUUAAGAAAAUCAAUGAUUCCCUAUAAAUUGAUGACCAUAACUAUGUUUAUAUGUUUCUUGGACACCGAUAGUUCUGUGAUUAUCCUUUUCACAUUUUGGCCAAUUUUUCUUUGCCUUGUCUAUCUUUUUGCCUGUGGUUUUAUAGACAUUUUUAUAAAUCAUGGAAACCAACCCUUGUCUGUUACGUAAGUUGCAAAUAUAGGCAUGUGUAUUAAGUACAUGCACACACACAUACACACAAACAUGCAGACAUAAAAUAUACUCAAUAUGUUGCAAGUAUUUUCUUCCAACCCAUUGGGUUAUUAACCUUGCUAGGUAGCAGGAGUUUUUAAUAGUUGGUAAAAUUUGUCUAGAGUUUCUGGAAUUGAUGUUUCUAUAGAUCCCUUUAGCCUCUUCCUUCUACUUUCUUUAUCAGUUGUUCUCUUUUGAAAUUUUUAAGUGAAUUACUGUAUUUUCAGUAGUAAAUGUUUAAUUGAGUCUUCUCCUUAUAUUUCUAACAGGUUUUGCUUUAUGUGUUUCAAAGCUAUGUUAAGUGCAAAAGGCAUAUGACUGGUCCAUAGUUUUAGUAAAUCAUAACUUUAUCUACAUAAAAUACUCCUCAUUGUCUAUUGAGUAUUGUGAGUUCUAUUUUAUCAAACCCUUUAUUUUCAAUCUUCCCAUAUCAUUUGGUGACUUUGCAUAUUUAAAAAAAAUUCUUUUAUUGCUGAAAAUUUUUGUUCUUCAACAUUUUCAAGAAUGUCUGACUUUGAAGGGGAUAUUUUAAACCUGCCUGAGUUUGUUGAGUUUGUACUUAUUCCUGUUCCCUUGUUUUCUAUUUCUUUAUAUCCUUUUCUUCCUGUUGAUUCACUUUGGUGCAUCCUUCUUUAUCCUGUUAAAAUGUUAUGUUAGUUUCCUUGAUAAAAAUAACACUAUAUAGAAGAGUAAGAAGUGCAAGGUAAAUGUCCUUGACUUCACUUGCUUUCAAAGUUAUGGCCAUUGUGGACGAUUUCAUCUCCUCUCAGAAAAGUUCUUUCCUAUACAAACAUCUACAUCUGGAUCUAUAUCUGUAUCUUUUGUUUUAUGCCUAGGGGAUAUUUC